rnacentral:rRNA from 1 species
AGUUGCGCCCAAAGCCACUCGGCCGAGGGCACGUCUGCCUGGGCGUCACGCAUCGUGUCGCUCCUCUCCAUGCCUCCUCAAAGGGGUGUGCGAGAUAGGAGCGGAUACUGGUCUCCCGUGCCUACGGUGCGGUUGGCCAAAAUAGGAGUCUCCUUUGAUGGACACACGGCAAGUGGUGGUUGACAAAACCUUUAGUCUCGUGUCGUGUGUCCUGACUUGUAAGCGAAGACCUCGUAAACUACCCUAUGGUGUCGUCUUAUGAUGACGCUUCGACCGCGACCCCAGGUCAGGCGGGACUACCCGCUGAGUUUAA